GUGGGGAAUAUUCCGCAAUGGACGAAAGUCUGACGGAGCAACGCCGCGUGAGUGAAGAAGGUUUUCGGAUCGUAAAGCUCUUUCGUUAGGGACGAACGUGCUCUUUGUGAAUAAUGAGGAGUAAUGACGGUACCUAAAUAAGAAGCCACGGCUAACUACGUGCCAGCAGCCGCGGUAAUACGUAGGUGGCAAGCGUUGUCCGGAAUUAUUGGGCGUAAAGCGCGCGCAGGCGGGAUAUCAAGUCUGUCUUAAAAGUGCGAGGCUCAACCUCGUGAGGGGACAGAAACUGGUAUUCUUGAGUGUCGGAGAGGAAAGUGGAAUUCCAAGUGUAGCGGUGAAAUGCGUAGAGAUUUGGAAGAACACCAGUGGCGAAGGCGACUUUCUGGACGAUGUCUGACGCUGAGGCGCGAAAGCUAGGGGAGCGAACGGGAUUAGAUACCCGAGUAGUCC
rnacentral:rRNA from 1 species